rnacentral:rRNA from 1 species
GACGAACGCUGGCGGCGUGCUUAACACAUGCAAGUCGAACGGAAAGGCCCUGCUUUUGUGGGGUGCUCGAGUGGCGAACGGGUGAGUAACACGUGAGUAACCUGCCCUUGACUUUGGGAUAACUUCAGGAAGCUGGGGCUAAUACCGGAUAGGAGCUCCUGCUGCAUGGUGGGGGUUGGAAAGUUUCGGCGGUUGGGGAUGGACUCGCGGCUUAUCAGCUUGUUGGUGGGGUAGUGGCUUACCAAGGCUUUGACGGGUAGCCGGCCUGAGAGGGUGACCGGCCACAUUGGGACUGAGAUACGGCCCAGACUCCUACGGGAGGCAGCAGUGGGGAAUAUUGCACAAUGGGCGGAAGCCUGAUGCAGCAACGCCGCGUGCGGGAUGACGGCCUUCGGGUUGUAAUCCGCUUUCGCCUGUGACGAAGCGUGAGUGACGGUAAUGGGUAAAGAAGCACCGGCUAACUACGUG